rnacentral:rRNA from 1 species
UACGGAGGGGGCUAGCGUUGUUCGGAAUUACUGGGCGUAAAGCGCACGUAGGCGGCUUUGUAAGUUAGAGGUGAAAGCCCAGGGCUCAACCCUGGAAUUGCCUUUAAGACUGCAUCGCUUGAACAUCGGAGAGGUAAGUGGAAUUCCGAGUGUAGAGGUGAAAUUCGUAGAUAUCGGGAGGAACACCAGUGGCGAAGGCGACUUCCUGGCCUGUUCUUGACGCUGAGGCGCGAAAGCUGGGGGAGCAAACGGG